AGGGAUACAGAGUGGUCAGGUUCAUCUGAAUCCGCCAAAAUGUCCUCAGGCACAGUAAGACCAAGCUGAUCUUUUAACAAUAUGGUAUGGAAGACUCAGUCUACCCUAGGGUAAAGAAGAGUCUUAUCUUCUCGCUGAGGUGAUUGAGCCAAACUGAGCAUGCUGGCCACGUGACUUACUCUUGACUGCUAACUAAUAGAAUGGAGCUCAGCUCUAAGCAUCCCGAGCAGGCUCACGGUCCAGCAGCGCUCCCUGGAGGGCGGUGGCAAAAUAGCAGCCUGUCAGACCGCAGGUGGAAGGCGAGGAACCAGCUAUAAUGAAACGCGUUUCGACUGCGGAGCGCACGGAGGUGACAGCAGUAUUCCUCAAUAUAUGUUUUCCCUUUCUUCUGAAUGAACAGACUUCUUAACUGGGCACAGGGCUUACUGCAAUAAAUAUUACAUGUCCCAGCCAUCCUGGAGUUAAGUCAUUAUUGUGCCUGGAAUAUGGAUGCUUCCUUAUAAUAUGAGGAUAAGGACCCUACCCCAGGGAUGGCUGAAUGGUGAAUUGGAUAGUAUCUCAGGAUAGUAUUGAACUGAGUGACCAUACCACUCUGGACUUCUUAUCUCAACACUAUGUGAUUAACAUGAGUACAAAAUAAACACCUUCCU